ACUGUUUUCUGGAAUUGACUUUAAAUCUUUGCUACGCAUCUUAGGUAGAAGGCAAAGAAUGCCUCCUACUGGGGGGCUCGAGUCUUCAGUGAGAUUCCAUUCUGGAAGCUAGAAUUCUAACCUUGUGUUAGGACUACAGACCAAGGGACAGACAGUCUCAGGGAGACCGUUUCUAUGGGGUGUAUGUCUUCCAAAAGAUAACAGAGGCAUGCAAAGGUUUCGUUUGGCCAAACAAAGAUUGGCUCUCGAAUGCGAGAGUUUGAUUGCAAGACCCACUCGUUGAGCAAGGACAUUUUAAUGAAUGACAAAAGUGUUUUUUCACCUUUUUUAU
rnacentral:ncRNA from 1 species